GCGCACGGGUGAGUAACACGUGGGAAUAUACCUUUCGGUGGGGAAUAACAGCGGGAAACNGCNGCUAAUACCGCAUACGCCCUUCGGGGGAAAGAUUUAUCGCCGAGAGAUUAGCCCGCGUCCGAUUAGCUAGUUGGUAAGGUAACGGCUUACCAAGGCUACGAUCGGUAGCUGGUCUGAGAGGAUGAUCAGCCACACUGGGACUGAGACACGGCCCAGACUCCUACGGGAGGCAGCAGUGGGGAAUAUUGGACAAUGGGCGCAAGCCUGAUCCAGCCAUGCCGCGUGAGUGAUGAAGGCCUUAGGGUUGUAAAGCUCUUUCGACGGGGACGAUGAUGACGGUACCCGUAGAAGAAGCCCCGGCUAACUUCGUGC
rnacentral:rRNA from 1 species